rnacentral:rRNA from 1 species
GCAUAUCAAUAAGCGGAGGAAAAGAAACCAACAGGGAUUGCUCUAGUAACGGCGAGUGAAGCAGCAAUAGCUCAAAUUUGAAAUCUGGCGUCUUCGACGUCCGAGUUGUAAUUUGUAGAGGAUGCUUCUGAGUGGCCACCGACCUAAGUUCCUUGGAACAGGACGUCAUAGAGGGUGAGAAUCCCGUAUGCGGUCGGAAAGGCGCUCUAUACGUAGCUCCUUCGACGAGUCGAGUUGUUUGGGAAUGCAGCUCUAAAUGGGAGGUAAAUUUCUUCUAAAGCUAAAUAUUGGCCAGAGACCGAUAGCGCACAAGUAGAGUGAUCGAAAGAUGAAAAGCACUUUGGAAAGAGAGUUAAAAAGCACGUGAAAUUGUUAAAAGGGAAGGGAUUGCAACCAGACUUGCUCGCGGUGUUCCGCCGGUCUUCUGACCGGUCUACUCGCCGCGUUGCAGGCCAGCAUCGUCUGGUGCCGCUGGAUAAGACUUGAGGAAUGUAGCUCCCUCGGGAGUGUUAUAGCCUCUUGUGAUGCAGCGAGCGCCGGGCGAGGUCCGCGCUUCGGCUAGGAUGCUGGCGUAAUGGUCGUAAUCCGCCCGUCUUGAAACACGACC